rnacentral:misc_RNA from 1 species
UUUCCGUAGGUGAACCUGCGGAAGGAUCAUUAUUGAAUGAAACACUUCUGGCUUUAUGCUGUUGUGCUGGCCCUUUGGGCAAUGUGCACACGGCUCUGGUCACUUGUUUCUUCUGUUCCACCUGUGCACUGCCUGUAGACACGCUGUGUCUAAGAUAUUUGUUAACACACAACAAUGUUAGUUGGCAUGUUAUAUAUAAUAAUAAAAUAUACAACUUUCAACAACGGAUCUCUUGGCUCUC